UAGAGUUUGAUCCUGGCUCAGAUUGAACGCUGGCGGCAGGCCUAACACAUGCAAGUCGAGCGGUAGCACAGGGAGCUUGCUCUUGGGUGACGAGCGGCGGACGGGUGAGUAAUGUCUGGGAAACUGCCUGAUGGAGGGGGAUAACUACUGGAAACGGUAGCUAAUACCGCAUAACGUCGCAAGACCAAAGAGGGGGACCUUCGGGCCUCUUGCCAUCAGAUGUGCCCAGAUGGGAUUAGCUAGUAGGUGGGGUAACGGCUCACCUAGGCGACGAUCCCUAGCUGGUCUGAGAGGAUGACCAGCCACACUGGAACUGAGACACGGUCCAGACUCCUACGGGAGGCAGCAGUGGGGAAUAUUGCACAAUGGGCGCAAGCCUGAUGCAGCCAUGCCGCGUGUAUGAAGAAGGCCUUCGGGUUGUAAAGUACUUUCAGCGAGGAGGAAGGUGUUGAGGUUAAUAACCUCAGCAAUUGACGUUACUCGCAGAAGAAGCACCGGCUAACUCCGUGCCAGCAGCCGCGGUAAUACGGAGGGUGCAAGCGUUAAUCGGAAUUACUGGGCGUAAAGCGCACGCAGGCGGUCUGUCAAGUCGGAUGUGAAAUCCCCGGGCUCAACCUGGGAACUGCAUUCGAAACUGGCAGGCUAGAGUCUUGUAGAGGGGGGUAGAAUUCCAGGUGUAGCGGUGAAAUGCGUAGAGAUCUGGAGGAAUACCGGUGGCGAAGGCGGCCCCCUGGACAAAGACUGACGCUCAGGUGCGAAAGCGUGGGGAGCAAACAGGAUUAGAUACCCUGGUAGUCCACGCCGUAAACGAUGUCGACUUGGAGGUUGUGCCCUUGAGGCGUGGCUUCCGGAGCUAACGCGUUAAGUCGACCGCCUGGGGAGUACGGCCGCAAGGUUAAAACUCAAAUGAAUUGACGGGGGCCCGCACAAGCGGUGGAGCAUGUGGUUUAAUUCGAUGCAACGCGAAGAACCUUACCUACUCUUGACAUCCAGAGAACUUUCCAGAGAUGGAUUGGUGCCUUCGGGAACUCUGAGACAGGUGCUGCAUGGCUGUCGUCAGCUCGUGUUGUGAAAUGUUGGGUUAAGUCCCGCAACGAGCGCAACCCUAUCCUUUGUUGCCAGCGGUCCGGCCGGGAACUCAAAGGAGACUGCCAGUGAUAAACUGGAGGAAGGUGGGGAUGACGUCAAGUCAUCAUGGCCCUUACGAGUAGGGCUACACACGUGCUACAAUGGCGCAUACAAAGAGAAGCGACCUCGCGAGAGCAAGCGGACCUCAUAAAGUGCGUCGUAGUCCGGAUUGGAGUCUGCAACUCGACUCCAUGAAGUCGGAAUCGCUAGUAAUCGUAGAUCAGAAUGCUACGGUGAAUACGUUCCCGGGCCUUGUACACACCGCCCGUCACACCAUGGGAGUGGGUUGCAAAAGAAGUAGGUAGCUUAACCUUCGGGAGGGCGCUUACCACUUUGUGAUUCAUGACUGGGGUGAAGUCGUAACAAGGUAACCGUAA
rnacentral:rRNA from 1 species